rnacentral:tRNA from 1 species
GCCCGGAUGGUGAAACUGGUAUACACAAGGGACUUAAAAUCCCUCGGCGGCUAAAUCCGCCUUGCCGGUUCGAGCCCGGCUCCGGGCACCA